AGGGCAGUAGCUUGAUGGUAGAGCUCCCGACUCGUAUUCGAGAAGACCUGGGUUCGAUUCCAGGCUGCUUCC
rnacentral:tRNA from 1 species